UUUUUUUGUCUGCACCCAAGGCAUUUUUUGCUUUUGCCUUCUACUGCAAACAUUUUCUUGGAAAUGUCGAUUCUUUUUUGCUUUUUCAGAAAGGUUGUCCCAGGUGAACUACCAUAAGGGGUAACAUGUCUUCACCCCUCAUGACUGCUGCUAUCCUCCACCAGCGCUCUCAUAGCAUCAUGGUCACAGUCAGCAGACGUUUGCAGCAAAACAGCCCUAAUGGAUCCACUGUUCACCACCUGCUCAUGUGUCGUAUGUCUGCAGUCUGAAUCGCCCCUGGCGGCUCUCGGAGACGGAGUGAGGGGCCGGGAGAUGAGGACGGUACAUUGGCCACAGCUGAGCUCCGCCGCUGAUGAGCAAACAAGUAAUCAAACAGACGUGAAGAAGAGGAGGCGCUCCGGAUUUUUUGAUAGGAAGCAACUAACAAAGGGUGCAGGGAGGGUGAUCUGUGGCGUUCUCACAGCGUGGCACUGGUCGGUCGAUACGGCGGCUGACAGGCGGGAUGUCUUGCUAGACAGCUGUCAGGUUCCAUGUGAGUGUGUAAGUUUGUGCUCUUACAGUUCUCGCGGUGGCGGCAAAUAUAGAGCAGAGAAGCUCUUGUAUAGACUCUUCACGUUUGAGUCGGCUGAUGGAGUGUGA
rnacentral:lncRNA from 1 species